rnacentral:rRNA from 1 species
GAGUUUGAUCCUGGCUCAGAACGAACGCUGGCGGCGGGCCUCAUACAUGCAAGUCGAGCGCGAAAGUCCGCAAGGAUGAGUAAAGCGGCGCACGGGUGAGUAACAUGUGGAUAAUCUACCCUUUGGAUUGGAAUAACCUGUCGAAAGACGGGCUAAUGCCGAGUAAGCUCUCGGGGCGUGAAGCUCUUGCGAGGAAAGAUGGCGCAAGCUAUCGCCGAUGGAUGAGUCUGCGUCCCAUUAGUUAGUUGGUGAGGUAACAGCUUACCAAGACGAUGAUGGGUACCUGGUCUGAGAGGAUGAUCAGGCACACUGGAACUGAAACACGGUCCAGACUCCUACGGGAGGCAGCAGUAGGGAAUAUUGCGCAAUGGACGAAAGUCUGACGCAGCCACGCCGCGUGAGUGAGGAAGGCCUCGGUUGUAAG